CUACGGGUUGCUGCAGUGGGGAAUAUUGCACAAUGGGGGAAACCCUGAUGCAGCAACGCCGCGUGGAGGAUGACGCAUUUCGGUGUGUAAACUCCUUUUAUAUAGGAAGAUAAUGACGGUACUAUAUGAAUAAGCACCGGCUAACUCCGUGCCAGCUGCCGCGGUAAUACGGAGGGUGCAAGCGUUACUCGGAAUCACUGGGCGUAAAGCGCGCGCAGGCGGCCUUUUAAGUUGGAUGUGAAAGCCUAUGGCUUAACCAUAGAACUGCAUCCAAAACUAUCAGGCUAGAGUCUGGGAGGGGAAGAUGGAAUUAGUUGUGUAGGGGUAACAUCCGUAGAGAUAACUAGGAAUACCAAAAGCGAAGGCGAUCUUCUGGAACAGUACUGACGCUGAGGCGCGAAAGCGUGGGGAGCAAACAGGAUUAGAUACCCCAGUAGUC
rnacentral:rRNA from 1 species